GAUGAACGCUGGCGGCGUGCCUAAUACAUGCAAGUCGAGCGAACAGAUGAGGAGCUUGCUCCUCUGACGUUAGCGGCGGACGGGUGAGUAACACGUGGAUAACCUACCUAUAAGACUGGGAUAACUUCGGGAAACCGGAGCUAAUACCGGAUAAUAUAUUGAACCGCAUGGUUCAAUAGUGAAAGACGGUUUUGCUGUCACUUAUAGAUGGAUCCGCGCCGCAUUAGCUAGUUGGUAAGGUAACGGCUUACCAAGGCAACGAUGCGUAGCCGACCUGAGAGGGGGGUCCGCCAACAGUGGACCGAACACACGUCCAGGCCCCAGAGGGGGGCAGCAGGGGGGAAGCCUCCAGAAAGGGGCAAAGCCCGACAGGACAACCGCCGGGGGAUGAAUAAGGUUCUGAGAAUCUAAAAACUUUUUUAUAGGGAAAAAAAAAAUGGGUAAGAAACUAUGCGCUUCUGAAGGGACCCUAAUAAAAAGCCCAGGCCAAAUUACGCC
rnacentral:rRNA from 1 species